rnacentral:rRNA from 1 species
UACGGAGGGGGCGAGCGUUAUUCGGAAUUAUUGGGCGUAAAGAGCGCGCAGGCGGUAUGACAAGUCAGAUGUGAAAGAGGCCGGCUUAACCGGCAAGGGUCAUUUGAAACUGUCAGACUAGAGUGCAGCAGAGGAUAGUGGAAUUCCCGGUGUAGUGGUGAAAUGCGUAGAUAUCGGGAGGAACACCAGUGGCGGAAGGCGACUAUCUGGGCUGCGAACUGACGCUGAGGCGCGAAGGCUAGGGUAGCAAACAGG